rnacentral:lncRNA from 1 species
GCAUUUAUCCUGACAACGGUAAUCCAUGUGCGAUACAAUCCUUAUUGAACAAAAAGGUUGUGAUACCUAAGUUGGAGAAACUACAUAUUAAUGAUAUGCCAAACUUGAAGCAAAUAUGGCCAUGUGAGAUUUCAACUGACGAGAAAAAUAACGUUUCCGGGUUGAGACUGCUCAAAGUAUUCACAUGUGGUAGCCUUAUCAAUAUUUUUCCAAACAACCCACUGC